AUUGAACGCUGGCGGCAGGCCUAACACAUGCAAGUCGAGCGGAUGAAGGGAGCUUGCUCCUGGAUUCAGCGGCGGACGGGUGAGUAAUGCCUAGGAAUCUGCCUGGUAGUGGGGGAUAACGUCCGGAAACGGGCGCUAAUACCGCAUACGUCCUGAGGGAGAAAGUGGGGGAUCUUCGGACCUCACGCUAUCAGAUGAGCCUAGGUCGGAUUAGCUAGUUGGUGGGGUAAAGGCCUACCAAGGCGACGAUCCGUAACUGGUCUGAGAGGAUGAUCAGUCACACUGGAACUGAGACACGGUCCAGACUCCUACGGGAGGCAGCAGUGGGGAAUAUUGGACAAUGGGCGAAAGCCUGAUCCAGCCAUGCCGCGUGUGUGAAGAAGGUCUUCGGAUUGUAAAGCACUUUAAGUUGGGAGGAAGGGCAGUAAGUUAAUACCUUGCAGUUUUGACGUUACCAACAGAAUAAGCACCGGCUAACUUCGUG
rnacentral:rRNA from 1 species